UGCAAUUCCCCUGUGAACCACCAGGAGUUCGCAAACCCCAAUUUGGGAAAACCUGAUUUAGGCCACAAAAGUGUUUUCUCGGUUAAACAUCACCUGUUUGUAACAAAAGACGAGACAGAUGCUGACUUUUAUCAAACACUGAGGAGUACAUAUUGUUUCAAAGCAGCUUUACCUGCCGGGCAUAAAAGGUCCAGAGCUGAGGAGAAGCCAUUAGAUCAGACGCAGCAUCUGCAGAUGGAGCUUCAGGGUGCCUGAGGAUGAAAAGAAGAGACCUGCGGUCUGCAAAUGUCACUGGUCGAUGUGAGAAACCUGUGGAGCAUCAUGUGCUCUUGAAGCAUUUCACGAGGAACUCAAUACACAUGUAAAACUCACACGCAACAUGCUGUGUGGUUGCUAAGUUAUUGCUAGGUGUUGAGUGUGUUUCAUGAAUUUAGGUGGUGUUAAUGUUUGCAUGCUUCGAGAUGGAAAGCUUGGGUUUUUUAAGGUCUUUUGUUCAUAUAAUUCAUGUAUAAAUUGACCAUUAAUGAAGCAGAAGAAAUAAACCCGGAGGUGUCAGAGAGAAUGGAGAGGUUUAUGGUUUCUGCACAACAGGAGGAUGUUGUUCUGUAACAUCGUAAUGAUGAAAGCAGACACCUGCAUACAGAGAGAGAUUAUUCUGACUGAACCUGAGCACAUUUCCUCCAGGAUGUCGCAGGUCAUUAUAAAAUGAUAAAUGAACCAUUA